rnacentral:rRNA from 1 species
AUUGAACGCUGGCGGCAUGCCUAACACAUGCAAGUCGUACGGCAGCGCGGGAGUAAUCCUGGCGGCGAGUGGCGAACGGGUGAGUAAUACAUAGGAAUCUGCCCAAUCGUGGGGGAUAACGCAGCGAAAGCUGUGCUAAUACCGCAUACGAUCUACGGGUGAAAGCGGGGGAUCCUCGGACCUCACGCUAUCGGAUGGGCCUAGGUCGGAUUAGCUAGUUGGUGGGGUAAAGGCCUACCAAGCCGACGAUCUGUAGCUGGUCUGAGAGGACGAUCAGCCACACUGGGACUGAGACACGGCCCAGACUCCUACGGGAGGCAGCAGUGGGGAAUUUUGGACAAUGGGCGAAAGCCUGAUCCAGCCAUGCCGCGUGCAGGAUGAAGGCCUUCGGGUUGUAAACUGCUUUUGUACGGGACGAAACGGUGUUUUCUAAUAAAGAAGGCUAAUGACGGUACCGUAAGAAUAAGCACCGGCUAACUACGUG